UUUCCGGUUGAUCCCGCCGGACCUGACUGCUAUCGGAUUGAUACUAAGCCAUGCGAGUCUUUGCAGUAAUGCAAGGCAUACGGCUCAGUAACACGUAGUCAACUUACCCUAUGGACGAGGAUAAUCUCGGGAAACUGAGCAUAAUACUCGAUAGAUCAUAAUGCCUGGAAUGGUUUAUGGUUGAAAUGAUUCGUCGCCAUAGGAUGGGACUGCGGCCUAUCAGCUUGUUGGUGAGGUAAUGGCCCACCAAGGCGAUUACAGGUACGGGCUCUGAGAGGAGAAGCCCGGAGAUGGGUACUGAGACAAGGACCCAGGCCCUAUGGGGCGCAGCAGGCGAGAAAACUUUGCAAUGUGCGAAAGCACGACAAGGUUAAUCCGAGUGAUUUCUGCUAAAGGAAUCUUUUGCAAGUCAUAAAACCACUAGUGAAUAAGGGGUGGGCAAGUUCUGUUGUCAGCCGCCGCGGUAAAACCAGCACCUCAAGUGGUCAGGAGGAUUAUUGGGCCUAAAGCAUCCGUAGCCGGCUCUGUAAGUUUUCGGUUAAAUCCAUGUGCUCAACGCAUGGGCUGCCGAAAAUACUGCAUAGCUAGGGAGUGGGAGAGGUAGACGGUACUCAGUAGGAAGGGGUAAAAUCCUUUGAUCUAUUGAUGACCACCUGUGGCGAAGGCGGUCUACCAGAACACGUUCGACGGUGAGGGAUGAAAGCUGGGGGAGCA
rnacentral:rRNA from 1 species